rnacentral:ncRNA from 1 species
AGAGUAGAGUAUCGCGCGUUAAGUGUCGGCAGGACGGGGAGUUGUCUGCCGAACGAAGGGAGUUGUUCCUGCGGUGCGAUAGUCGCAUCCCGCU